AUUACAUGACUCAAAGGAACGGCCCUGGGAGCUCGAUCCUUCUCACAUCCCGCCACGCCAUUGUCGCGUCCAUCCCCACGACGCAGGACGUGAAGAGCGAGUCCAAGGCCGGAAGCUAGACUCGGUACU
rnacentral:pre_miRNA from 1 species